rnacentral:rRNA from 1 species
GGUUAAGCGACUAAGCGUACACGGUGGAUGCCCUGGCAGUCAGAGGCGAUGAAGGACGUGCUAAUCUGCGAAAAGCGUCGGUAAGGUGAUAUGAACCGUUAUAACCGGCGAUGUCCGAAUGGGGAAACCCAGUGCAAUUCGUUGCACUAUCGUUAACUGAAUACAUAGGUUAACGAGGCGAACCGGGGGAACUGAAACAUCUAAGUACCCCGAGGAAAAGAAAUCAACCGAGAUUCCCCCAGUAGCGGCGAGCGAACGGGGAGCAGCCCAGAGUCUGAAUCAGCUUGUGUGUUAGUGGAACGGUCUGGAAAGUCCGACGGUACAGGGUGAUAGUCCCGUACACCAAAAUGCACAGGUUGUGAACUCGAAGAGUAGGGCGGGACACGUGGUAUCCUGUCUGAAUAUGGGGGGACCAUCCUCCAAGGCUAAAUACUCCUGACUGACCGAUAGUGAACCAGUACCGUGAGGGAAAGGCGAAAAGAACCCCGGCGAGGGGAGUGAAAAAGAACCUGAAACCGUGUACGUACAAGCAGUGGGAGCACCUUCGGGUGUGACUGCGUACCUUUUGUAUAAUGGGUCAGCGACUUAUAUUCUGUAGCAAGGUUAACCGUAUAGGGGAGCCGCAGGGAAACCGAGUCUUAACUGGGCGUUAAGUUGCAGGGUAUAGACCCGAAACCCGGUGAUCUAGCCAUGGGCAGGUUGAAGGUUGGGUAACACUAACUGGAGGACCGAACCGACUAAUGUUGAAAAAUUAGCGGAUGACUUGUGGCUGGGGGUGAAAGGCCAAUCAAACCGGGAGAUAGCUGGUUCUCCCCGAAAGCUAUUUAGGUAGCGCCUCGUGAACUCAUCUUCGGGGGUAGAGCACUGUUUCGGCUAGGGGGUCAUCCCGACUUACCAACCCGAUGCAAACUACGAAUACCGAAGAAUGUUAUCACGGGAGACACACGGCGGGUGCUAACGUCCGUCGUGAAGAGGGAAACAACCCAGACCGCCAGCUAAGGUCCCAAAGUCAUGGUUAAGUGGGAAACGAUGUGGGAAGGCACAGACAGCCAGGAUGUUGGCUUAGAAGCAGCCAUCAUUUAAAGAAAGCGUAAUAGCUCACUGGUCGAGUCGGCCUGCGCGGAAGAUGUAACGGGGCUAAACCAUGCACCGAAGCUGCGGCAGCGACACUAUGUGUUGUUGGGUAGGGGAGCGUUCUGUAAGCCUGCGAAGGUGACCUGUGAGGGUUGCUGGAGGUAUCAGAAGUGCGAAUGCUGACAUAAGUAACGAUAAAGCGGGUGAAAAGCCCGCUCGCCGGAAGACCAAGGGUUCCUGUCCAACGUUAAUCGGGGCAGGGUGAGUCGACCCCUAAGGCGAGGCCGAAAGGCGUAGUCGAUGGGAAACAGGUUAAUAUUCCUGUACUUGGUGUUACUGCGAAGGGGGGACGGAGAAGGCUAUGUUAGCCGGGCGACGGUUGUCCCGGUUUAAGCAUGUAGGCUGAUUAUCCAGGCAAAUCCGGAUAAUCAAGGCUGAGGUGUGAUGACGAGGCACUACGGUGCUGAAGUAACAAAUGCCCUGCUUCCAGGAAAAGCCUCUAAGCAUCAGGUAACAUCAAAUCGUACCCCAAACCGACACAGGUGGUCAGGUAGAGAAUACCAAGGCGCUUGAGAGAACUCGGGUGAAGGAACUAGGCAAAAUGGUGCCGUAACUUCGGGAGAAGGCACGCUGGUGUGUAGGUGAAGCCCCUGCGGGUGGAGCUGAGACCAGUCGAAGAUACCAGCUGGCUGCAACUGUUUAUUAAAAACACAGCACUGUGCAAACACGAAAGUGGACGUAUACGGUGUGACGCCUGCCCGGUGCCGGAAGGUUAAUUGAUGGGGUUAUCCGUAAGGAGAAGCUCUUGAUCGAAGCCCCGGUAAACGGCGGCCGUAACUAUAACGGUCCUAAGGUAGCGAAAUUCCUUGUCGGGUAAGUUCCGACCUGCACGAAUGGCGUAAUGAUGGCCAGGCUGUCUCCACCCGAGACUCAGUGAAAUUGAACUCGCUGUGAAGAUGCAGUGUACCCGCGGCAAGACGGAAAGACCCCGUGAACCUUUACUAUAGCUUGACACUGAACAUUGAGCCUUGAUGUGUAGGAUAGGUGGGAGGCUUUGAAGCGUGGACGCCAGUCUGCGUGGAGCCAACCUUGAAAUACCACCCUUUAAUGUUUGAUGUUCUAACGUUGGCCCCUGACCGGGGUUGCGGACAGUGUCUGGUGGGUAGUUUGACUGGGGCGGUCUCCUCCCAAAGCGUAACGGAGGAGCACGAAGGUUAGCUAAUCCUGGUCGGACAUCAGGAGGUUAGUGCAAUGGCAUAAGCUAGCUUGACUGCGAGCGUGACGGCGCGAGCAGGUGCGAAAGCAGGUCAUAGUGAUCCGGUGGUUCUGAAUGGAAGGGCCAUCGCUCAACGGAUAAAAGGUACUCCGGGGAUAACAGGCUGAUACCGCCCAAGAGUUCAUAUCGACGGCGGUGUUUGGCACCUCGAUGUCGGCUCAUCACAUCCUGGGGCUGAAGUAGGUCCCAAGGGUAUGGCUGUUCGCCAUUUAAAGUGGUACGCGAGCUGGGUUUAGAACGUCGUGAGACAGUUCGGUCCCUAUCUGCCGUGGGCGCUGGAGAAUUGAGGGGGGCUGCUCCUAGUACGAGAGGACCGGAGUGGACGCAUCACUGGUGUUCGGGUUGUCAUGCCAAUGGCACUGCCCGGUAGCUAAAUGCGGAAGAGAUAAGUGCUGAAAGCAUCUAAGCACGAAACUUGCCCCGAGAUGAGUUCUCCCUGAGACUUUAAGUCUCCUGAAGGAACGUUGAAGACGACGACGUUGAUAGGCCGGGUGUGUAAGCGCAGCGAUGCGUUGAGCUAACCGGUACUAAUGAACCGUGAGGCUUAACCUU